rnacentral:rRNA from 1 species
AUUGAACGCUGGCGGCAGGCCUAACACAUGCAAGUCGAACGGUAACAGGAAACAGCUUGCUGUUUCGCUGACGAGUGGCGGACGGGUGAGUAAUGUCUGGGAAACUGCCUGAUGGAGGGGGAUAACUACUGGAAACGGUAGCUAAUACCGCAUAACGUCGCAAGACCAAAGAGGGGGACCUUCGGGCCUCUUGCCAUCGGAUGUGCCCAGAUGGGAUUAGCUAGUAGGUGGGGUAACGGCUCACCUAGGCGACGAUCCCUAGCUGGUCCGAGAGGAUGACCAGCCACACUGGAACUGAGACACGGUCCAGACUCCUACGGGAGGCAGCAGUGGGGAAUAUUGCACAAUGGGCGCAAGCCUGAUGCAGCCAUGCCGCGUGUAUGAAGAAGGCCUUCGGGUUGUAAAGUACUUUCAGCGGGGAGGAAGGGAGUAAAGUUAAUACCUUUACUCAUUGACGUUACCCGCAGAAGAAGCACCGGCUAACUCCGUG